GUGGGGAAUCUUCCGCAAUGGACGAAAGUCUGACGGAGCAACGCCGCGUGAGUGAAGAAGGUUUUCGGAUCGUAAAGCUCUUUCGUUAGGGACGAACGUGCUCUUUGUGAAUAAUGAGGAGUAAUGACGGUACCUAAAUAAGAAGCCACGGCUAACUACGUGCCAGCAGCCGCGGUAAUACGUAGGUGGCAAGCGUUGUCCGGAAUUAUUGGGCGUAAAGCGCGCGCAGGCGGGAUAUCAAGUCUGUCUUAAAAGUGCGAGGCUCAACCUCGUGAGGGGACAGAAACUGGUAUUCUUGAGUGUCGGAGAGGAAAGUGGAAUUCCAAGUGUAGCGGUGAAAUGCGUAGAGAUUUGGAAGAACACCAGUGGCGAAGGCGACUUUCUGGACGAUGUCUGACGCUGAGGCGCGAAAGCUAGGGGAGCGAACGGGAUUAGAUACCCUAGUAGUCC
rnacentral:rRNA from 1 species